UGGGGGAUAUUGCACAAUGGGGGAAACCCUGAUGCAGCGACGCCGCGUGGGUGAAGGAGCACUUCGGUGCGUAAAGCCCUAUCGGCAGGAAGAAAAGGGGGAAACCCCAGACGGUACCUGACUAAGAAGCCCCGGCUAACUACGUGCC
rnacentral:rRNA from 1 species